UACGAAGGGGGCUAGCGUUGUUCGGAUUUACUGGGCGUAAAGCGCACGUAGGCGGAUCGUUAAGUCGGGGGUGAAAUCCUGGAGCUCAACUCCAGAACUGCCUUCGAUACUGGCGAUCUUGAGUCCGGAAGAGGUGAGUGGAAUUCCUAGUGUAGAGGUGAAAUUCGUAGAUAUUAGGAAGAACACCAGUGGCGAAGGCGGCUCACUGGAUCGGUACUGACGCUGAGGUGCGAAAGCGUGGGGAGCAAACAGG
rnacentral:rRNA from 1 species